rnacentral:lncRNA from 1 species
AAAAAGAGCCCGGGAACGGCGACAAAAAGGUGGAAUUUGUUUGGAUAAGCGGGAAUGUGAGCCAGGGAAAGGGCUGGAAGCGCAGGCGGCGCUCGGGAAAUCGGGAAUUCGCCGGCUCUGAGGUGUUUUUUAGGGAUAAAACACGGAAUUUUUGGUUUGUGAAGCUGGGAUUUUUCCUUUUCCCGGGUUUUCCUGAACCUGGCAGAAUUCCUGGGAGAAUCCAGCCCUUUAUCCUGCUUUUUUUCCAGCUCCAAAUCACCUUUUUCACCUUAAAUUUUGGGCUCAGAUCCAUAAAAAUUCCACUUGGGAAGGAGUUCUUUGCUCCUCACUUUUCCCUGGAAGGAUUUAAGGUCUGAUCCCUGAUUUUCUGACUCUUUAUCCAUGUUUUUUUUUGGGAAUUUGGAGCCAGACACCCGAGGCCAGCAGCGUGUGGGGGUGGGAUAAUUCAAUUUUUGCGUUUUCCGGGGUUUCUUCUUCUUUUCCUGGGAUUUUCCUGGGAUUUUCCCUUGCUUUUCUGGGAUUGAUCCUCUCUGAGCAUGGAUUUUUCCUUUCUUUUGGCAGGAUCCAACACCUUCAAAAAAUCCCUCACUCCCGAGAUGCCGGGAGGAUCCCAAACCAUCCGGAAAGGCCACAGAGGAGUGGAUUCCACGGGGGAAACCACCUACAAAAAGGUAAAUUCCUGCUUUUUUUCCCCCCCCCUUUUCCCAAGGAAUUCUGCUCUGGGAAUGGGAGGAGGUUCCAUGGAAAUGCAGGAGAAAGGGAAUUUUGUGGUGGAAUUUUCUUGGGCUGCUUUCCCAGAACUUUUAGGAAGGGGAUUUUUUUUUUUAAUCUCUGAGGUCCCAGGUUUUCUGGGAGCUUCCCAAGGGCACCAAAAUUCCCGUAAAUCCGAUGGAAUGGCUGGAAUUAUUGGCUGGGCAAAGAGGGAAUUGUGAGGGAAUUUUGUAAAUGGGGGGGUUUUGCCAUGAAUUUGUGCCAUUCCCGUUGAAUUCCUGCUGUUCCCAUGGAAUCCCUCCCAUUCCCACUGAAUUCCCAUUCCCAUCCAAUCCCUCCCAUUCCCUCUGCACUCCAGCCAUUCCCAUCCCCAUUCCUGCUGUAAUUCC